GGAUGUGUUGCUCAGUGGUUAGAGCAGUUGCCUAGCAUGCACAAGGCCCUGGGUUCAAUCCCCAGCACCG
rnacentral:tRNA from 1 species